AACGCUGGCGGCGCGCUUAACACAUGCAAGUCGAGCGAGAACCAGGGCUUCGGCCCUGGGGACAGCGGCGAACGGGUGAGUAACACGUGGGUAAUCUGCCCUCGGCAUCGGGAUAGCCCGGGGAAACCCGGAUUAAUACCGGAUAGCCUCCGGAGCCUUCGGGCGCCGGAGAAAAGGUAGCUUCGGCCUCUGGCCGAGGAUGAGCCCGCGGCGGAUUAGCUUGUUGGCGGGGUAACGGCCCACCAAGGCGACGAUCCGUAGCUGGGCUGAGAGGACGAUCAGCCACACUGGGACUGAGACACGGCCCAGACUCCUACGGGAGGCAGCAGUGGGGAAUCCUGCGCUAAUGCGGGAAACCGUGACGCAGCGACGCCGCGUGGGGGAAGAAGGCCUUCGGGUUGUAAACCUCUUUCAGGAGAGACGAAGCCACUCGGGUGAACAGCCCAGAGGGUGACGGUACCUCCAGAAGAAGCCCCGGCUAACUACGUGCCAGCAGCCGCCGUAAGAC
rnacentral:rRNA from 1 species